rnacentral:rRNA from 1 species
CCUGCCGGACCCUACUGCUAUCAGGAUGAGACUAAGCUAUGCGAGUCGUGCGCCUCCUAGCUAUGUUGGAGGCGCGGCGUACGGCUCAGUAACACGUAGUCAACCUGCCCUUGGGACGAGAACAACCUCGGGAAACUGAGGCUAACACUCGAUAUGUGGAAGCGCCUGGAAUGGUCUUUCGCUGAAAAGGCGCAUGAUACAUGCAUUAUGCGUUGCCCAAGGAUGGGACUGCGGCCGAUCAGGUAGUUGGUAAGGUAACGGCUUACCAAGCCUAUAACCGGUACGGGCCCUGAGAGGGGAAGCCCGGAGAUGGGAACUGAGACAAGGUCCUAGGUCCUACGGGGCGCAGCAGGCGCGAAAACUUCGCAAUGCGCGAAAGCGCGACGAGGUUAUCCUGAGUGCCGUCUGAAAGGAUGGCUUUUCAUCGACGUAAACAGUCGGUGGAAUAAGGGGAGGGCAAGACUGGUGUCAGCCGCCGCGGUAAUACCAGCCCCCCGAGUGGUAGGGACAAUUAUUUGGCCUAAAGCGUUCGUAGCCUGCUCGGUAGGUCCUCCGUCAAAUCUGACGAUCCCAUCGUCAGACUGCGGGGGAUACCGCCGGGCUAGGAGGCGGGAGAGGUCGACGGUAGUCCAGGGGUAGGGGUGGAAUCCCAUAAUCCUUGGAGGACCACCAGUGGCGAAGGCGGUCGACCAGAACGCGCUCGACGGUGAGGGACGAAAGCUGGGGGAGCAAACCGGAUUAGAUACCCGGGUAGUCCCAGCUGUAAACGAUGCGAGUAGGUGUUUGGAGCGGCUACGGGCCGCUCCAGUGCCUCAGGGAAGCCCUUAAGCUCGCCGCCUGGGGGAGUACGGUCGCAAGGCUGAAACUUAAAAGGAAUUG